rnacentral:sRNA from 1 species
CUGAAAUUACAUUGACCAUGGCCGGUCUUGAGCC